GCUUACGGCCAUACCAGCCUGAAUGCGCCCGAUCUCGUCAGAUCUCGGAAGCUAAACAGGGUCGGGCCUGGUUAGUACUUGGUUCGGAGACUGCCUGGGAAUACCAGGUGCUGUAAGCU
rnacentral:rRNA from 1 species